rnacentral:rRNA from 1 species
UACGGAGGGUGCGAGCGUUGUCCGGAAUCAUUGGGCGUAAAGGGCGCGUAGGUGGCCCGGUCAGUCUUUGGUGAAAGCGCGGGGCUCAACCCUGCGUCGGCCAGGGAUACUGCCGCGGCUCGAGCACUGUAGAGGCAGGCGGAAUUCCGGGUGUAGCGGUGGAAUGCGUAGAGAUCCGGAAGAACACCGGUGGCGAAGGCGGCGACCUGGUCCAUUACUGACGCUGAGGCGCGACAGCGUGGGGAGCAAACAGG